rnacentral:lncRNA from 1 species
AUCACAUCCAUCCUCCAAAAACAGAAGCAGAGGCUGACGCCCAAAAUAACAUGCCGAGUUAGAACCAAGCCGAGACCAAGAAUGUGUAUGUACCCAAGAUAUUUUGCAGCUUUACACAAAAUCUGGGGGAGACCAGGGACUUUUAAAACAGAAGCCGUGAUGUACAUUGGCCACAGUUAGAGGGAGAGAGGGGUCUUUCGUUAAUUCUUCAUUCUAGAGAUUUAAUGUCAUAUGCUCAG